UUAUGAAAUGUGAAAUACUUGGCUAGGGCUCAACCUAUAAACCAGCAAAAAGAGGAGCUCCACAUCGGACAGCAUCCAGGUCCCACCGUUCAGUGGACGUAAGAAAGACACCCGGAUCCUGCGCUCUCCUUACCCUCUCCACUUCCGUUUCCGGAUCCCGUUUCCAGCUCCGAUCCAACCCAGCAUCUGUACCGCGCCGCGCGAGCACGUCCGGCGCCGGUGCGGCAGGCGAAAUCCGAGAGCACUCCUCCCCCGCUACGCCGCACCGCCCAUGGCCGCAGCUAGCCGCAGAUAGAGAGAGGCGCAGGCGAGGGCGUGCAGAUCCAGAUCCGGUGGGCGGGAAGGACUUGAUCGCCCCCACCACCAUGGCCGGCGCGGUGUCGGCGCUCUUCCUGCUGGACAUGAAGGGCCGCGUUCUCGUCUGGCGCGACUACCGCGGCGAUGUCUCCGCGCUCCAGGCCGAGCGCUUCUUCACCAAGCUCCUCGACAAGGAGGGCGAUUCGGAAGUGCACUCGCCUGUGGUCUACGACGACGCUGGCGUCACUUACAUGUUCAUCCAGCACAACAAUGUCUUCCUCCUCACCGCCGCUCGCCAGAACUGUAACGCGGCCAGCAUCCUCCUCUUCCUCCACCGUGUAAUAGAUGUGUUUAAGCACUACUUCGAGGAGCUGGAGGAAGAGUCGCUCAGAGAUAACUUCGUCGUUGUGUAUGAGUUGCUCGAUGAGAUGAUGGAUUUUGGGUACCCACAAUACACGGAGGCGAAGAUAUUGAGUGAGUUCAUCAAGACAGAUGCAUACAGGAUGGAGGUCACACAGCGUCCACCCAUGGCCGUGACAAAUGCUGUGUCAUGGAGGAGCGAGGGGAUCCGGUACAAGAAGAAUGAAGUCUUCUUGGAUGUAGUGGAGAGUGUUAACAUUCUAGUUAACAGCAAUGGCCAGAUUGUGAGAUCAGAUGUGGUUGGGGCACUGAAGAUGCGAACAUAUUUGAGUGGAAUGCCGGAGUGCAAACUUGGCUUGAAUGAUAGGGUUCUUUUGGAGGCUCAAGGCAGAGCAACUAAAGGCAAAGCGAUAGACCUCGAUGAUAUCAAAUUUCAUCAGUGUGUACGUUUGGCUAGAUUUGAGAAUGAUAGAACUAUAUCGUUCAUACCUCCUGAUGGAUCUUUUGAUCUAAUGACAUACAGGCUUAGCACUCAGGUAAAACCUCUUAUCUGGGUCGAAGCACAGAUUGAGAAACAUUCUAGAAGCCGUAUAGAACUCAUGGUGAAGGCAAGGAGUCAGUUUAAAGAAAGAAGCACAGCAACGAAUGUUGAAAUUGAAGUGCCUGUUCCUUCAGAUGCCACAAACCCAAAUAUAAGAACUUCAAUGGGGUCUGCUGCAUAUGCUCCUGAGAGAGAUGCAAUGGUUUGGAAAAUAAAAUCAUUCCCUGGUGGCAAGCAACCUAUCCUAUAGGAAUACAUGUGCAGAGCAGAAUUUAGUCUUCCUAGCAUAACAGCGGAAGAAGGGGCCCCAGAAAAGAAGGCGCCGAUACGGGUGAAAUUUGAGAUACCAUAUUUCACCGUAUCAGGUAUUCAGGUCCGUUAUCUGAAGAUAAUUGAAAAGAGUGGUUAUCAGGCACUCCCCUGGGUUAGAUAUAUCACAAUGGCUGGUGAAUAUGAGCUGAGACUUAUAUGAGUUCUCUCUUCUCUGGCUGCCGGACGACUUUUGAAGCUGCAGGACACUAAAGAUACAUAUUUGCUAUCGACACAGCGAACAGUUUUCAUUUGGAUGUUGGCCUGGAAGUCUUCUGCCGACCAUACCCCUCCCCGUGGUGGGGCUUGCUGUUCAUCUUGUUAGGCUCACCUUACCCUGGUUAUUGUAAGUUACCAAUCAAGUACAGUUUUGGAGGAAAGGAUAUUCAGUUUUCAGUUCACUUGUAUUGUUAUUGAUUUAUUUUGUGGGUACCAAACUAGAUUUGUUUCGUUCUGUAUUACACGGAAAACAUGGGCUGAUUUGAGUUCAACAAAACAUUGCCACAUCUGGCGAUGAUUCUGGGGUGCGGGUUGAAACAAAUUUGCCCUUUUUUUUACUGUAAAUGUCGUGAACAAUUCCCUUUCA